ACCUUGAUGUCGGCUCUUCGCCAUCUAAGGUUGUAGUAUGUUCCAAGGGUUGGGUUAUUAGCCCAUUAAAGCGGUACGUGAGCUCGGUUCAGAACAUUGUAAGACAGUUC
rfam:Nicotiana sylvestris Nsyl_contig76996, whole genome shotgun sequence.